rnacentral:misc_RNA from 1 species
AAAAAAGAGGAAAUUUUGUUGUACUUUUCUCUAAAGCCUUUUGAUAGGUGUCCUUCAUUGUAUCAAGAGAAUGAUUCAUCAUUUCCCUUUUAAUAUUUGCUCUAAAGUCAACCCAUUAACAAACCUAUUAAGUUUAAUAAAAGGGUCCUCCAUCAUAUCACAGCUCAGUAAGAGUUCAUCAAAUUUAUCCAUGUAAUUUGUCAUGGUAGAAUUUGGUUGCUUAAGAUUUAACAUUUUGCCUGCUAGACAAAUAUUCCUUUAGUUUUUGUUUCAUGACCACUCAUUAAGUAAUAGGUGGCUCAUUCAAACGCUCCAAAUUGCAUUGAACACUUUGCCUACAUAUUUUAGAGACUUUUGCUAUGAUUGGCAAUUGAUUUGAGCUAAUAAAAUUGAGAAUUUGUUUCUCAUCCCUUUGUUCCCCUUUGUUCUAUUGGUUCUACAUCAUGAUCAUAGAAGGAAAAAAAAAUAAUUUUUUUGGGUAGUUGAGUCAUUCUGCUUUCUUCCCUUCAGUUUAUCUGUUAUAGGGUGCAAUCUGGCAAGAAAAUCAUGUGCUGUAAUAGCUGCUCAUAUAAGCUGUUGCAGAGCAUGAGUAAGGGAGUAAGUUUGUACAAGGGUGGAGUUGUCCAUCACAGGACAGAAGAUAAGGGUUAAGGAAGAAAGAGUCAUUUCUCCAACAUAACUGUACUUGGAAAUGUUCUUUCUCUGUAUUCUUUUUAUACAUUCUUUCGUGUGUUGGAUUUAUAUUCUUACUGAGUUCUGUUGCACUCCAUUUUUUUAGCAAUGUGCCACCACAAGGUUGGCAUGGAUUCUAGAAAUCAAUUUUCAAAUAAUUCUUUCGUCUGCCAUACUGGUUGAAAUGAUUAUCAGAGUCAAUGUUUUGGUUUGUGAAAAAUAUUUAGCAUGUUAACACAGUUCUUUCUUGAAGCUUGUUGAGAAAGCAUGUUCAGUAACAAAUUGCCUUCUCAUUUUAAGAUUCACAUGAUAGAAACUGCCUAUCAUGAUAUUCAACUACCAAUACAAUUUAUAAUUAGUUUCUUGAGAAUAGCUACUUGACUCACCUGAGUUUUUUGGUGUUCGAUAUUCAAAAAUGGAUCCAAUGGAUGUAGUGAAAAAUAAUGAAAAAUUUUCAUUUGAUUCUUCUUGCAGAACUGGUGUGAUGGAAGUCAGUUGAUGAUCUUUGGGACUUCCAUGGAUUAUCCAUUUCCACUUCCUUUGAUGUAAUCGUCUCUCUACCAAUUUCCCACCCUGUAAAGACAUGAAUAUUAUGAACAAAUGGCAUAUAUGGUAUUGCAAUAAUUCUUACUUGCGACUUUCUUAGGCUUUCUGAGGUUACUUGUAUAUAUUUGACUUUUUGCUACUUGAAUAUAGCAGGUGUAACCCAUGUCCAUUCUAUAAGAUUCCAUGAUCCAGAAAAAAAGGUUUAAAACACGAAAUGAUGGCAAGUAGAAUGUUUACAAUGCUGCUUCCAAAUUGUUUGUUGUAUAGUUCUCCACAUUAAGAGUUCAUUGCUUUUAUUAUAUUCCAAAGGCAAAGUUGUCAAAAAUUGACACGAUUUGUGAUAGAAAUCUAAAGUUUUAAUAUGGUACCUUGGUCAAAAGAAACAAAGAACUGGAGUAAUCUCCACUCAAGCCAUUAAUGGUGUAUCCUGUUGAUGGUAUCAGUAAAGCAUCUUCUGCCAUACCUGCUGUCCAUAUAUGCUUCUUCCAUGAUGGCUUUGAGCUCUUGUCAUAUUCAUAGAGAUUGCCUGUUGAGCUGCAUUGUAGUAUCAUAUUCAGCAUGAUCCCUUAAUCUCUAAUAUAUCCAUAGUAUACUUUGAUACAUGCGGCUCUCUUGCUCAUUCUCAUAAAUGGGGACAGCAACACAUUUUUAGAAGUUCUCAAGUAAAUCGAACUAUGGCCUUCUCCAAUCUCCAAUUUUUAAAAUGAUAGUUUAACACUGCAUACUACUUUGUUUCUUUUAGUAAGAUCAUUUAUUUUCCAGUCUCUUGAAAUUACAUGAUUAGGUGAUGCUUUGAGUCAGCCAGCUCCCAAGAGAUUGAAUUAUGGAUUUGUUGAGUUGAAUUGAUUUUGAUAGAACAUAUUAUUCAUAUUUGUUUAACAUUCACACAGCCUAGCCUAUUAUGCUGCAGAAUGGGGGGAGAGAGUGAGAUCACCUUAUGGUAUAUGCUACUUCCGGUCUAAUAGUACCAGCAUCAGCAAUUGCUGCAACAUUUCCACCUGGUGGUCGUCCAUGAUCUAACCAUCUGUUCUAUGUUUAUAGCACAAACGCCGAAGUGAAUAUUAGAGUCUCCCCAUCAGAAUCUACACAGUAAAUAUAGACUGAAAUUCAAAAAUAAGGCACUAGUUUAUCUUCUGUUUUUACUUGUAUAAAUAUGAAGUUUUACCUUGGAGGAUCAACCUCAGUCAAUUCUAAUAACAGUCCCUUCCUUGUGCAGAAAUAAAUUCUCCUGGUAGGCAAUACAACAAAAUCAGUGUAAUAUCUUCAGUUUAUGCUGUAAUAGAAUGUGAUACACUCUUCUGAUUUGUAUAGUUCACUACAUGAAAUUCUAAAACUGAAAUGCUGCACUCACAUCCCAUCAUGUGAAACAACACCAGACUUAAUUAGGAUCACAGAAGUUUCUUCUGCUUCUUUAUUUGUGCUUGAAUCAGGAGUUGGCUUGAGUACGACCCAAAUUGGCUGUGAGCUCUCACUGAGUUGCAUCUGAGAACAAAAAGAGAGAAGAAAAUCAGUAAAUACAAGCAACAAUAAUAUCCAUGCAACGGCAGAAUAAGGUGAAUUCCUUCUGCCUUAUGGAAGAAAAGAUCAAAUGAUAUUGUUAUUGUGGAGCCAUCGUGGAAGUCCUCUGUGGGUUGACUCCAAGUUCAUAGCUAAGAAGUUUUCUAGAGUUAUCACUUAUCAGUGGAGUUAAUACACAAUGAAUCUUGUGUUUAUGAUCCUUCGUGGCCCACAUAUGGACACGAGUAUCUCUUUCUUUUGUCAAAGAUCAAUACCAUAACCUGCAUUGCAGGAUGCCAACUGCAGGGCCCGCACGAGGUUGCAACUUGCAAGGACAACAGCCUUGGUACUGUAGCCAAACAAGUGGACGGUCCUGCAGCCUUUGCUUUUGAACAGCGGAAUCUUUGAGUGGGCAACGCGAAGCGUUGAAAGAAUCUUCACUAAUGUGGCUUUCAAGAUUUUUUGUUUUUUAAGAAGAUUCUAAACUCUACUCAUUGUAAGAUGGACAGGACUUAAGUUUCUGAUUUGCAUUAAUUUUUUGAGUAGCAGACAAAUAAUUGCUUAUGAGUUGAAUUUGGAAGAUGAACAAGAAAAACAGCAUAAAAAAGAUGAAAUGCCGCUCUUUUCAGCUUCAAGGAUGAGAAAGAGCCUGAGGUAUCCCAAUUCUUAAUGAGAUGCGAAUAUUGCCUAAUCAUUUCUUU